UGCUGGGAUGACAGGCGUGAGCCACCGCACCGGCCAAUCAUAAUCUUUUAAAUGAGUCUCCCCGUUGAUGGGGAUCUUGGCUGGCUAGUAUCAACAGUGUUGUAGAGAGCAUCCUUGUAUAUUUAUUUUUGCCAUACUUCUACAAGUCCAGAUUCCUAGGACUUGGGUCAAAGGGAAAGAACAUUUUAAAUUUUGAUGGCUGAAUUUUCUUCCAGAUAGGUUGCCCCAGUUUAUAUGCCCACCAAGAAUGUGUAGAGUACCUGUCUUCGAGUGGCUGUCGAGAAAGCGGGGUACUGUGCUCCUGCCUGUUGCAGCAGCCCCUGGACAUCUGCAGUGGUAAAGAAGGCGUAUAGGCAGAAGGCCCUCUCCUGCCACCCAGACAAAAAUCCAGAUAAUCCCAGAGCAGCUGAACUCUUCCACCAGCUUUCUCAGGCCUUGGAGGUGCUGACCGAUGCU
rnacentral:lncRNA from 10 species